rnacentral:rRNA from 1 species
GGAUCCAGACUUUGAUUAUGGCUCAGGAUGAACGCUAGCUACAGGCUUAACACAUGCAAGUCGAGGGGCAGCGGGAUUGAAGCUUGCUUCAAUUGCCGGCGACCGGCGCACGGGUGAGUAACGCGUAUCCAACCUUCCGUACACUCAGGGAUAGCCUUUCGAAAGAAAGAUUAAUACCUGAUGGUAUGAUGAGAUUGCAUGAUAGCAUCAUUAAAGAUUUAUCGGUGUACGAUGGGGAUGCGUUCCAUUAGGUAGUAGGCGGGGUAACGGCCCACCUAGCCAACGAUGGAUAGGGGUUCUGAGAGGAAGGUCCCCCACAUUGGAACUGAGACACGGUCCAAACUCCUACGGGAGGCAGCAGUGAGGAAUAUUGGUCAAUGGACGAGAGUCUGAACCAGCCAAGUAGCGUGAAGGAUGAAGGUCCUACGGAUUGUAAACUUCUUUUAUAAGGGAAUAAACCCUCCCACGUGUGGGAGCUUGUAUGUACCUUAUGAAUAAGCAUCGGCUAACUCCGUGCCAGCAGCCGCGGUAAUACGGAGGAUGCGAGCGUUAUCCGGAUUUAUUGGGUUUAAAGGGAGCGCAGACGGGUCGUUAAGUCAGCUGUGAAAGUUUGGGGCUCAACCUUAAAAUUGCAGUUGAUACUGGCGUCCUUGAGUGCGGUUGAGGUGUGCGGAAUUCGUGGUGUAGCGGUGAAAUGCUUAGAUAUCACGAAGAACUCCGAUUGCGAAGGCAGCACACUAAUCCGUAACUGACGUUCAUGCUCGAAAGUGUGGGUAUCAAACAGGAUUAGAUACCCUGGUAGUCCACACGGUAAACGAUGGAUACUCGCUGUUGGCGAUAUACUGUCAGCGGCUUAGCGAAAGCGUUAAGUAUCCCACCUGGGGAGUACGCCGGCAACGGUGCAACUCAAAUGAAUUGACGG